rnacentral:rRNA from 1 species
UACGAAGGGUGCAAGCGUUAUUCGGAAUUACUGGGCGUAAAGGGUGCGUAGGCGGUUGUUUAAGUCUGUCGUGAAAUCCCCGGGCUCAACCUGGGAAUGGCGAUGGAAACUGGGCAGCUAGAGUGUGGCAGAGGAUGGUGGAAUUCCCGGUGUAGCGGUGAAAUGCGUAGAGAUCGGGAGGAACAUCAGUGGCGAAGGCGGCCAUCUGGGACAACACUGACGCUGAAGCACGAAAGCGUGGGGAGCAAACAGG